CACGAUACGACAUUGCAUUUCUGAAGAGGGAAGAAGAAAUCAACAUGCAAAUUCAAUUCCAUGGUUUUGGAAGUCCCAUUGAGAACACGAUUCAUUUGCGCCGGCAUAAUGCUCUGACCGAGAAAGAAUUGUGGUAAUUGCAUGACAGUUUGACUGGUUCGUUGAGAGUGAGGAACCUAUGGACUCUCACACACCAAGAUGGAAUUUAGUUCGAAGAGUGACUUCAAAAUGUUCCGCAAGUUUUAGCGUAAACUGGUGGAGACUUUCGGUGCUUGCAAAAAGGCUCACCUCUCCGUUAAUACCGAAGGAAAAUGGGAGUUCAAAAAACCAUACGAUUAGACUGUUUUGAUGAGGAAUUUAAAGAUUACGAGUCGUGUCCGUUUGACUCACAGUUUGGUACCAUAGGUUGGUACGAUCUUCGUUGGAGAAGGAAAAGGGAUGUUCCAGAUCCAGAAAAUCGUCAAACCAUUUACUACAAAGUCCGUUUCUGGGUGGAGUUAGUGGAACCGAAAAAGAUGUCUCCCUCACAGCGUUUGUGACACAAGAAUUGCAUCGUUCCUUGGCGGCCUUUCAAC